CCCAGACCGCCAGCUAAGGUCCCAAAGUCAUGGUUAAGUGGGAAACGAUGUGGGAAGGCCCAGACAGCCAGGAUGUUGGCUUAGAAGCAGCCAUCAUUUAAAGAAAGCGUAAUAGCUCACUGGUCGAGUCGGCCUGCGCGGAAGAUGUAACGGGGCUAAACCAUGCACCGAAGCUGCGGCAGCGACGCUUAUGCGUUGUUGGGUAGGGGAGCGUUCUGUAAGCCUGCGAAGGUGUACUGUGAGGUAUGCUGGAGGUAUCAGAAGUGCGAAUGCUGACAUAAGUAACGAUAAAGCGGGUGAAAAGCCCGCUCGCCGGAAGACCAAGGGUUCCUGUCCAACGUUAAUCGGGGCAGGGUGAGUCGACCCCUAAGGCGAGGCCGAAAGGCGUAGUCGAUGGGAAACAGGUUAAUAUUCCUGUACUUGGUGUUACUGCGAAGGGGGGACGGAGAAGGCUAUGUUGGCCGGGCGACGGUUGUCCCGGUUUAAGCGUGUAGGCUGGUUUUCCAGGCAAAUCCGGAAAAUCAAGGCUGAGGCGUGAUGACGAGGCACUACGGUGCUGAAGCAACAAAUGCCCUGCUUCCAGGAAAAGCCUCUAAGCAUCAGGUAACAUCAAAUCGUACCCCAAACCGACACAGGUGGUCAGGUAGAGAAUACCAAGGCGCUUGAGAGAACUCGGGUGAAGGAACUAGGCAAAAUGGUGCCGUAACUUCGGGAGAAGGCACGCUGAUAUGUAGGUGAAGCGACUUGCUCGUGGAGCUGAAAUCAGUCGAAGAUACCAGCUGGCUGCAACUGUUUAUUAAAAACACAGCACUGUGCAAACACGAAAGUGGACGUAUACGGUGUGACGCCUGCCCGGUGCCGGAAGGUUAAUUGAUGGGGUUAGCGGUAACGCGAAGCUCUUGAUCGAAGCCCCGGUAAACGGCGGCCGUAACUAUAACGGUCCUAAGGUAGCGAAAUUCCUUGUCGGGUAAGUUCCGACCUGCACGAAUGGCGUAAUGAUGGCCAGGCUGUCUCCACCCGAGACUCAGUGAAAUUGAACUCGCUGUGAAGAUGCAGUGUACCCGCGGCAAGACGGAAAGACCCCGUGAACCUUUACUAUAGCUUGACACUGAACAUUGAGCCUUGAUGUGUAGGAUAGGUGGGAGGCUUUGAAGUGUGGACGCCAGUCUGCAUGGAGCCGACCUUGAAAUACCACCCUUUAAUGUUUGAUGUUCUAACGUAGGCCCCUUAUCGGGGUUGCGGACAGUGUCUGGUGGGUAGUUUGACUGGGGCGGUCUCCUCCUAAAGAGUAACGGAGGAGCACGAAGGUUGGCUAAUCCUGGUCGGACAUCAGGAGGUUAGUGCAAUGGCAUAAGCCAGCUUGACUGCGAGCGUGACGGCGCGAGCAGGUGCGAAAGCAGGUCAUAGUGAUCCGGUGGUUCUGAAUGGAAGGGCCAUCGCUCAACGGAUAAAAGGUACUCCGGGGAUAACAGGCUGAUACCGCCCAAGAGUUCAUAUCGACGGCGGUGUUUGGCACCUCGAUGUCGGCUCAUCACAUCCUGGGGCUGAAGUAGGUCCCAAGGGUAUGGCUGUUCGCCAUUUAAAGUGGUACGCGAGCUGGGUUUAGAACGUCGUGAGACAGUUCGGUCCCUAUCUGCCGUGGGCGCUGGAGAACUGAGGGGGGCUGCUCCUAGUACGAGAGGACCGGAGUGGACGCAUCACUGGUGUUCGGGUUGUCAUGCCAAUGGCACUGCCCGGUAGCUAAAUGCGGAAGAGAUAAGUGCUGAAAGCAUCUAAGCACGAAACUUGCCCCGAGAUGAGUUCUCCCUGACCCUUUAAGGGUCCUGAAGGAACGUUGAAGACGACGACGUUGAUAGGCCGGGUGUGUAAGCGCAGCGAUGCGUUGAGCUAGCUAAAUGCGGAAGAGAUAAGUGCUGAAAGCAUCUAAGCACGAAACUUGCCCCGAGAUGAGUUCUCCCUGACCCUUUAAGGGUCCUGAAGGAACGUUGAAGACGACGACGUUGAUAGGCCGGGUGUGUAAGCGCAGCGAUGCGUUGAGCUAACCGGUACUAAUGAACCGUGAGGCUUAACCUUACAACGCCGAAG
rnacentral:rRNA from 1 species